AUCCAUCUGACAAGUCCCAAAUAGGACGAAACGUGUGUCAUACUGGGU
rnacentral:hammerhead_ribozyme from 1 species